AACGAACGCUGGCGGCAUGCCUAACACAUGCAAGUCGAACGAAGGCUUCGGCCUUAGUGGCGCACGGGUGCGUAACGCGUGGGAAUCUGCCCUUUGCUUCGGAAUAACAGUUAGAAAUGACUGCUAAUACCGGAUGAUGUCGCAAGACCAAAGAUUUAUCGGCAAAGGAUGAGCCCGCGUAGGAUUAGCUAGUUGGUGGGGUAAAGGCCUACCAAGGCGACGAUCCUUAGCUGGUCUGAGAGGAUGAUCAGCCACACUGGGACUGAGACACGGCCCAGACUCCUACGGGAGGCAGCAGUGGGGAAUAUUGGACAACGGGCGAAAGCCUGAUCCAGCAAUGCCGCGUGAGUGAUGAAGGCCUUAGGGUUGUAAAGCUCUUUUACCCGGGAUGAUAAUGACAGUACCGGGAGAAUAAGCUCCGGCUAACUCCGUG
rnacentral:rRNA from 1 species